rnacentral:rRNA from 1 species
CCUACGGGUGGCAGCAGUGAGGAAUAUUGGGCAAUGGGCGCUAGCCUGAACCAGCAACGCCGCGUGAAGGAUGACUGCCCUAGGGGUGGUAAACUUCUUUCAUAUGGGCGUAAAGUGCAGUAUUUAUACUGCUUUGCAUGUACCUUAUGUAUAAGGCACGGCUAGCUCCGUGCCAGCAGCCGCGGUAAUACGGAGGAUCCGAGCGUUAUCCGGAUUUAGUGGGUUUAAAGGGAGCGUAGGCGGGUUGUUAAGUCAGUUGUGAAAGUUUGCGGCUCAACCGGAAGAUUGCAGUUGAUACUGGUAUCCUUGAGUACAGUAGAGGUAGGCGGAAUUCGUGGUGUAGCGGUGAAAUGCUUAGAUAUCACGAAGAACUCCGAUUGCGAAGGCAGUCUGCUGGACUGUAACUGACGCUGAUGCUCGAAAGUGUGGGUAGCAAACAGGAUUAGAUACCCCUGUAGUC